GACGAACGCUGGCGGCGUGCUUAACACAUGCAAGUCGAACGGAAAGGCCCUGCUUUUGUGGGUUGCUCGAGGGGCAAACGGGUGAGUAACACGUGAUUAACCUGCCCUUGACUUUGGGAUAACUUCAGGAAACUGGGGCUAUUACCGGAUAGGAGCUCCUGCGGCAGGGUGGGGGUUGGAAGGUUUCGGCGGUUGGGGAUGGACUCGCGGCUUAUCAGCUUGUUGGUGGGGUAGUGGCUUACCAAGGCUUUGACGGGUAGCCGGCCUGAGAGGGUGACCGGCCACAUUGGGACUGAGAUACGGCCCAGACUCCUACGGGAGGCAGCAGUGGGGAAUAUUGCACAAUGGGCGGAAGCCUGAUGCAGCAACGCCGCGUGCGGGAUGACGGCCUUCGGGUUGUAAACCGCUUUCGCCUGUGACGAAGCGUGAGUGACGGUAAUGGGUAAAGAAGCACCGGCUAACUACGUG
rnacentral:rRNA from 1 species